rnacentral:miRNA from 1 species
UCAAAAUCGAUUGCAAUGGCU